rnacentral:SRP_RNA from 17 species
GCCAUUAGAAUAGCAACCUUGUAACUUGGUCAGGACAGAAAUGAAGCAGCCACAUCGAGAAGUGUUAUGUCUAAUGGUUUUU